rnacentral:rRNA from 1 species
UACGGAGGGUGCAAGCGUUAUUCGGAAUUACUGGGCGUAAAGCGCGUGCAGGCGGGUGGAUAAGUCUGAUGUGAAAGCCCUGGGCUUAACCCGGGAAGUGCAUUGGAAACUGUUCAUCUUGAGUACUGGAGAGGAAGGGAGAAUUCCCGGUGUAGAGGUGAAAUUCGUAGAGAUCGGGAGGAACACCAGUGGCGAAGGCGCCCUUCUGGACGGUUACUGACGCUGAGACGCGAAAGCGUGGGGAGCAAACAGG